UCGCAGGUUCGAAUCCUGCACGACCCACCAAUUUAACAUCAAACUCAGAUGUUGAACGUGAAGGAUAACGUUGCGUCAGCAACGGCCCGUAGGGCAAGGCGAAGCCGAGUCAUCCUGCACGACCCACCA
rnacentral:sRNA from 1 species